GCAAACUUGGUCAUUUAGAGGAAGUAAAAGUCGUAACAAGGUUUCCGUAGGUGAACCUGCGGAAGGAUCAUUUGAGAUUUAGUAAAUCUUAUCAUCCGUGUGCAAUCUCUGAAGUCUGAUGUCCUUGGAGAGGUCAUCCAUCGUAUGUGAACUCUCCAAGGAGGUUAUCACGAUCAAUGCAUUCUUUUUUUUCAUUACUAUAUGUAUAAAUAAUAAUCGAAACAACUUUCAACAACGGAUCUCUUGGCUCUCGCAUCGAUGAAGAACGCAGC
rnacentral:misc_RNA from 1 species